UUGUAUAUUCUCUAUUCAGUAACGCCAUUACACAGCUGUAACAACCUCCAACAGAGCAGAAAUCUCUCUCCAUAGGAUAAACGUGAUCCUGUCUACACAAUAUAUCAAUUCAAAAGCGUCCAAUAUCCCUCACCCCCUUAGCUCUUAUAUAGGAGCUUUAUUUCCCACCUAAACUAAUAAUACUAACAAUAUGAUUAUAACUUUCUAACACCUUUUUCCCUCUUUAUUCCCUAUCAAGGUUCCUGUGAAAUCAGUUAGUGAAUUUC
rnacentral:lncRNA from 1 species